AAUGGAGGGACGCAGAAGGAUAGAAGAAGCGUGCGAUUGGUUGUGCACGUCCAAGCAGUUAGGCUGAUAAGUAGGCAAAUCCGCUUAUCGUGAAGGCUGAGCUGUGAUGGGGAAGCUCCUUAUGGAGUGAAGUCUUUGAUUCCCCGCUGCCAAGAAAAGCUUCUAGCGAGAUAAAAGGUGCCUGUACCGCAAACCGACACAGGUAGGCGAGGAGAGAAUCCUAAGGUGUGCGAGAGAACUCUGGUUAAGGAACUC
rnacentral:rRNA from 1 species